rnacentral:rRNA from 1 species
CCCAGACUCCUACGGGAGGCAGCAGUGGGGAAUAUUGGGCAAUGGGCGCAAGCCUGACCCAGCAACGCCGCGUGAAGGAAGAAGGCUUUCGGGUUGUAAACUUCUUUUAUUCGGGACGAAGCAAGUGACGGUACCGAAUGAAUAAGCCACGGCUAACUACGUGCCAGCAGCCGCGGUAAUACGUAGGUGGCGAGCGUUAUCCGGAUUUACUGGGUGUAAAGGGCGUGUAGGCGGGAGUGCAAGUCAGAUGUGAAAACUAUGGGCUCAACCCAUAGCCUGCAUUUGAAACUGUGCUUCUUGAGUGCUGGAGAGGCAAUCGGAAUUCCGUGUGUAGCGGUGAAAUGCGUAGAUAUACGGAGGAACACCAGUGGCGAAGGCGGAGUGCUGGACAGUAACUGACGCUGAGGCGCGAAAGCGUGGGGAGCAAACAGGGUUAGAUACCCUUGUACCA